GCCCGUAUAGCUCAGUGGUAGAGCGUAUCACUUGUAAUGCUAAGGUCCAUGGUUCAAUCCCAUGUGCGGGCA
rnacentral:tRNA from 4 species